GCGAAGCAAUGGCCAGGCAACACUAUUUGAAACACUAUCACGAAACACCGUAGGUACGACACCGCGGCUCUCAUGUCGGAGUUAAAAGAAGCGUAGCAGUGAUGUCAAAAAGGAAGGAAAAGUGUGAUGUCGACCAAGAACCGGAAAGAAACUGAUUGCGACGUGGGAUACCUGCACACAUGCCUCUGUCCUGGCUGCUCAGUAGAAUAUAGCUAUAAAACUGCUUAAUACAAUUGUAUGACACUUAGGAAUGUUAAAAAGCACUGUGCAUAAAGUCUUGAGGUGACACGCCUUCAGUAAUCCUCCCUUUGCCACUAGCGUCUGUCACUCAUCAAAGGGAACAACGGCCAAGGACCAGUGCACUGCAUGGGAAGAUCAAAGAAAAGUGCACACAUGAAAAUGGGCAGAGAGUUAAUAUGGCAUCAGGGAUGGCCAAACGAGUGGAAGACCAGGUUGGUCUCAGUGUGCACCAACUGAGCCGCUGUCAACAUAGGAAUAUACAAGGGUUUACAUCGAGGUUUCCCAUCCGCAUAUUUUUGUGUACCACCCACACCAAGGAGAACUGCGCCAAGUCAGCUGAUCAUGUGGUCCCGUACUGUGAGUCACUUAAGCAACUGUCCAAGUCACUGGGCU